GGAGAGGUAGCGUAGCCUGGUCUAACGCGCGCGCCUGGAGAGCGCGUGAGCCGGAAACGGCUCCGUGGGUUCGAAUCCCACCCUCUCCGCCU
rnacentral:tRNA from 1 species